AUGCGAAGCGACACCACCCCACACUGACCCCUGCCUUCAGGGCGAAACUAGAUCCACUCGUUCGACUUUCACGCGAAAAUGCUAAUAAGUUGUUGAUAAAUUGAAGUCUUUUUGUUAAAGCAGAGAAUACUUACAUGGGUUAGAUAUAAACAGUUGAAUACUUUUAAAGCGCGUCAUCUAACCCAUGUAGAACGAGGUGCCACAUGGGAUCGUGGCGCGCUUUACAAGCUCGUUUAUAUACAUAUAUAUCUAUAUCUAUCUAUAUAUAUUAAUAUAUAGAUGUUACGGAUAAGGUUCUUAUCUUCCGCACGUAUACAGGUAGAGCAGGUUAAAUUAAACAGAAAAGUUAUGUACGAUUUUGUAAAAUUCUUAAUUAUAUAGUUAUCGAGUAAUUAAUUAAACCGUCUGAGUGAAUGAGCACGAGGAAAACGGUAGGCCGGACUCGGCAGAUAUUAAAUGGCUUAUCUGUUUAGUCUUAUAAUGGUGAAGGACGAGUGAAUCAUCUGAAGCAGAAUUCUGAAGCUCACCGUUCACUGCGUAACAACUGUUUUCCGAUGCGUCGCUCUAUCUCCCAAUAUUAGAUACCCACUUUUGCAAUGAUAUUAAACAAAUAAGGCAGUUUAACCCUCACUAUCUGUACACAAGCGGGUGGACACCUUAUCCGUAACACCCUAGUCGAAAAGUCUUCUAUCAUUGUGCAAUUUUCAUAAUUUUCAUGAAAAUCUUGGGAAUUUUAAAAACAACGAAGAAAAACGGAAUAUUGAAUAUUUAAGCUGAUACUAGAGAAAGCGGUCUAUAUACGCAUCAUCAGAUGCACACUCAUGUAAGCAUAUUGAACAUAUACAAGAAAUAUAUCUUGUAAUAAUAAAAGAACUAACUAAUGUA